UUUAAAAACUCUAUUACUCUAAACCAGGGAUUUAAAAACUAUUUUACUCUAAACCAGAAAUGUUAAACUCUAUUACACUCUAAACCAGAAAUGUUAAACUCUAUUCCUGGAGGCCUGAGUUUGUGCUGGUGUUUUUUAAUCGCCUUUCAAUUCAUGUCCAAUCAAGACCUAGAUAAGGGGAGGUGAGAGGAGUUCCUAACUAAUCAAUUACCUCAAUUGAUCUAUCAAGUAUAAGGGGGAGUGAAAAAACCUGCAGACACUCGGCCCUCCAGGAAUUAAGUUUGAAACCUGUGCUCUAAACGAACAAACUGGGCCAGUGUAUUACCUCCCGGACAGGUCGUUGUAUUAAACUGGGCCAGUGCAUUACCUUCUGGACAGGUCGUUGUAUUAAGCUGGGCUGACAGGUCGUUGUAUUAAACUGGGCCAGUGCAUUACCUUCUGGACAGGUGGUUGUAUUAAACUGGGGACAGGUGGUUGUAUUAAACUGGGCGGACAGGUCAUUAUAUUAAACUGGGCUGACAGGUCGUUGUAUUAAACUGGGCCAGUGCAUUACCUUCCGGACAGGUCGUUGUAUUAAACUGGGCCAGUGCAUUACCUUCCGGACAGGUCGUUGUAUUAAACUGGGCCAGUGCAUUACCUCCCGGACAGGUCGUUGUAUUAAUCUGGGCUGACAGGUCGUUGUAUUAAACUGGGCUGACAGGUCGUUGUAUUAAUCUGGGCUGACAGGUCGUUGUAUUAAACUGGGCUGACAGGUCGUUGUAUUAAUCUGGGCUGACAGGUCGUUGUAUUAAUCUGGGCUGACAGGUCGUUGUGUUAAACUGGGCUGACAGGUCGUUGUAUUAAACUGGGCUGACAGGUCGUUGUAUUAAACUGGGCUGACAGGUCGUUGUAUUAAUCUGGGCUGACAGGUCGUUGUGUUAAACUGGGCUGACAGGUCGUUGUGUUAAACUGGGCUGACAGGUCGUUGUAUUAAACUGGGCUGACAGGUCGUUGUAUUAAUCUGGGCUGACAGGUCGUUGUAUUAAACUGGGCUGACAGGUCGUUGUAUUAAACUGGGCUGACAGGUCGUUGUAUUAAACUGGGCUGACAGGUCGUUGUAUUAAACUGGGCUGACAGGUCGUUGUAUUAAUCUGGGCUGACAGGUCGUUGUAUUAAACUGGGCUGACAGGUCGUUGUAUUAAUCUGGGCUGACAGGUCGUUGUAUUAAACUGGGCCAGUGCAUUACCUCCCGGACAGGUCGUUGUAUUAAACUGGGCCAGUGCAUUACCUUCUGGACAGGUCGUUGUAUUAAACUGGGCCAGUGCAUUACCUUCUGGACAGGUCGUUGUAUUAAACUGGGCCAGUGCAUUACCUUCUGGACAGGUCGUUGUAUUAAACUGGGCCAGUGCAUUACCUUCUGGAGAGGUCGUUGUAUUAAACUGGGCCAGUGCAUUACCUCCCGGACAGGUCGUUGUAUUAAUCUGGGCUGACAGGUCGUUGUAUUAAACUGGGCUGACAGGUUGUUGUAUUAAACUGGGCCAGUGCAUUACCUUCUGGACAGGUCGUUGUAUUAAACUGGGCCAGUGCAUUACCUUCUGGACAGGUCGUUGUAUUAAACUGGGCUGACAGGUCGUUGUAUUAAACUGGGCUGACAGGUCGUUGUAUUAAACUGGGCUGACAGGUCGUUGUAUUAAACUGGGCUGACAGGUCGUUGUAUUAAACUGGGCUGACAGGUCGUUGUAUUAAACUGGGCCAGUGCAUUACCUCCCGGACAGGUCGUUGUAUUAAACUGGGCCAGUGCAUUACCUUCUGGAGAGGUCGUUGUAUUAAACUGGGCCAGUGCAUUACCCCCAGGACAGGUCGUUGUAUUAAACUGGGCCAGUG